rnacentral:rRNA from 1 species
CCUACGGGAGGCAGCAGUGAGGAAUAUUGGUCAAUGGACGCAAGUCUGAACCAGCCAUGCCGCGUGCAGGAAGACGGCUCUAUGAGUUGUAAACUGCUUUUGUACGAGGGUAAAUCCCGAUACGUGUAUCGGGUUGAAAGUAUCGUACGAAUAAGGACCGGCUAACUCCGUGCCAGCAGCCGCGGUAAUACGGAGGAUUCAAGCGUUAUCCGGAUUUAUUGGGUUUAAAGGGUGCGUAGGCGGUUCGUUAAGUUAGAGGUGAAAUCCCGGGGCUCAACUCCGGCACUGCCUCUGAAACUGUCGGGCUAGAGUUUAGUUGCGGUAGGCGGAAUGUAUGGUGUAGCGGUGAAAUGCAUAGAGAUCAUACAGAACCCCGAUUGCGAAGGCAGCUUACCAAACUACGACUGACGUUGAGGCACGAAAGCGUGGGGAGCGAACAGGAUUAGAUACACCAGUAGUC